rnacentral:rRNA from 1 species
CCCUUAGAUGUCCUGGGCCGCACGCGCGCUACACUGAUGCAUUCAACGAGUUUUACCUUGGCCGAGAGGCCUGGGCAAUCUUUUAAACCUGCAUCGUGAUAGGGACAGAUUAUUGCAAUUAUUAAUCUUGAACGAGGAAUUCCUAGUAAACGCAAAUCAUCAAUUUGCAUUGAUUACGUCCCUGCCCUUUGUACACACCGCCCGUCGCACCUACCGAUUGAAUGGUCCGGUGAAGCCUCGGGAUUGUGGCCAGUUCACUUUAUUGGGAGUUGGCUGUGAGAACUUGUCUAAACCUUAUCAUUUAGAGGAAGGUGAAGUCGUAACA